AGUAAAUGUAUCAUAGGGGUUAUGGCGGUGUUUUAGGUGCAUCUUACAUUGGUUCAAAUCCAGUCAUUUACUAC
rnacentral:tRNA from 1 species